rnacentral:rRNA from 1 species
GACGAACGCUGGCGGCGUGCCUAAUACAUGCAAGUCGAACGCACUCUCGUUUAGAUUGAAGGAGUUUGCUCCUGAUUGAUAAACAUUUGAGUGAGUGGCGGACGGGUGAGUAACACGUGGGUAACCUGCCCUAAAGUGGGGGAUAACAUUUGGAAACAGAUGCUAAUACCGCAUAAAACCUAACACCUCAUGGUGUAGGGUUGAAAGAUGGUUUCGGCUAUCACUUUAGGAUGGACCCGCGGUGCAUUAGUUAGUUGGUGGGGUAAAGGCUCACCAAGACCGUGAUGCAUAGCCGACCUGAGAGGGUAAUCGGCCACACUGGGACUGAGACACGGCCCAGACUCCUACGGGAGGCCGCAGUAGGGAAUCUUCCACAAUGGACGAAAGUCUGAUGGAGCAACGCCGCGUGAGUGAAGAAGGUUUUCGGAUCGUAAAACUCUGUUGUUGGAGAAGAAUGUAUCUGAUAGUAACUGAUCAGGUAGUGACGGUAUCCAACCAGAAAGCCACGGCUAACUACGUG